CCUUUAUCUUGGGAAUGGCCUUUCAAAAGGAAGAUUAAUGCCCCAUAAUAUUUAGAAUGGCAUCAUUUUAAAUUGAAAACUCCGGUGGAUAAAGAUGGGCACUCACACGAUUAGAUAGUUGGUAGGGUAACGGCCUACCGAGUCAACGAUCCUUAAGGGGCCUGAGAGGGUGAUCCCCCACACUGGUACUGAGACACGGACCAGACUCCUACGGGAGGCAGCAGUGAGGAAUAUUGAACAAUGGGUGAGAGCCUGAUCCAUCCAUCCCGCGUGAAGGACGACGGCCCUAUGGGUUGUAAACUUCUUUUGUAUAGGGAUAAACCUACUCUCGUGAGAGUAGCUGAAGGUACUAUACAAAUAAGCACCGGCUAACUCCGUGCCAGCAGCCGCGGUAAUACGGAG
rnacentral:rRNA from 1 species